rnacentral:rRNA from 1 species
AUGAGAAUUAGUCUAUACGCCGACGACGCAGUCAUCUUCGCAAACCCUGUGAAAGAAGAAGUAUCAAAGCUUCUGAACAUCCUACACCUCUUCGGAGAAGCAACUGGCCUGCGAUUAAACCAGGAGACAUCUACGGUUGCUCCAAUUAGGUGUGACAACCUAAACCUAGAUGAUAUUCUCCAAGAUUUUGGUGGAGUGGUGGUAGGCUUCCCAAUGACGUAUCUAGGGCUACCAAUCUGCACGGGUAGAAUUAGGAUAGUGCAUCUCCAAUUCAUCUUAGAUAGGAUUAGAUCACGGCUAGCAGGCUGGAAGGGAAAGUUAAUGAACAUGGCCGGAAGAAGAGUGCUAGUACGCAGUGUUCUAUCUGCAAUGCCAACUUUCGCCAUGAUUGUUCUUCGUAUGCCAAAAAAAACUCCUCAAGGAAAUAGACAAGACGAGGCGCAAGUUUCUGUGGGCGCAGGAAGAUUAGGGAUUCAAGACCUACAUCGCUUCGGCAGAGCUCUUCGUCUGAGAUGGCUGUGGCUGUCCUGGGCGCAACCGGACAGACCAUGGAGGGAUUUCCCCACACCCUGCGAUCAGGAAGACAAAAACCUUUUUGCUAGGACUACCAGGACGGGCAAACCGCAAAGUUCUGGACAUGCAAUUGGCUGGGCGGCGCUCCUCUUUGCAACUCUUUUCCUGCCCUGUACAGAAUCUCAAGAAAGAAGACAAGGACGGUAG